rnacentral:rRNA from 1 species
UAGGGAAUCUUCGGCAAUGGGGGCAACCCUGACCGAGCAACGCCGCGUGAGUGAAGAAGGUUUUCGGAUCGUAAAGCUCUGUUGUAAGAGAAGAACGUGUGUGAGAGUGGAAAGUUCACACAGUGACGGUAACUUACCAGAAAGGGACGGCUAACUACGUGCCAGCAGCCGCGGUAAUACGUAGGUCCCGAGCGUUGUCCGGAUUUAUUGGGCGUAAAGCGAGCGCAGGCGGUUUAAUAAGUCUGAAGUUAAAGGCAGUGGCUUAACCAUUGCUCGCUUUGGAAACUGUUAAACUUGAGUGCAGAAGGGGAGAGUGGAAUUCCAUGUGUAGCGGUGAAAUGCGUAGAUAUAUGGAGGAACACCGGUGGCGAAAGCGGCUCUCUGGUCUGUAACUGACGCUGAGGCUCGAAAGCGUGGGGAGCAAACAGG